rnacentral:rRNA from 1 species
GACGAACGCUGGCGGCGUGCCUAAUACAUGCGAGUUGAGCGCUGAAGGUUGGUACUUGUACCAACUGGAUGAGCAGCGAACGGGUGAGUAACGCGUGGGGAAUCUGCCUUUGAGCGGGGGACAACAUUUGGAAACGAAUGCUAAUACCGCAUAAAAACUUUAAACACAAGUUUUAAGUUUGAAAGAUGCAAUUGCAUCACUCAAAGAUGAUCCCGCGUUGUAUUAGCUAGUUGGUGAGGUAAAGGCUCACCAAGGCGAUGAUACAUAGCCGACCUGAGAGGGUGAUCGGCCACACUGGGACUGAGACACGGCCCAAACUCCUACGGGAGGCAGCAGUAGGGAAUCUUCGGCAAUGGACGAAAGUCGGACCGAGCAACGCCGCGUGAGUGAAGAAGGUUUUCGGAUCGUAAAACUCUGUUGGUAGAGAAGAACGUUGGUGAGAGUAGAAAGCUCAUCAAGUGACGGUAACUACCCAGAAAGGGACGGCUAACUACGUG